UAUCUAAAUAUUUUAUAAUUUUAAAUUUUAUUUUUUAUGAUUAAAAUAAUUUUAAUUAUAUAGAUUAGAUAUUCUACUUUUCAUACAACUCAAGCUUUGUAUCAUAUACAAUAAAUCUUAGGAUUUCAACAUCUAGGGUUUUGCAGAAAAGUAAGUUCUUUCUUUUGCUUUCUUCUUCAUAGGAUCAAAUCACAUGGCACGCCUACAUGUCAUAAGACCACCCAA
rnacentral:lncRNA from 1 species